GACGAACGCUGGCGGCGUGCUUAACACAUGCAAGUCGAGCGGUAAGGCCCUUUCGGGGGUACACGAGCGGCGAACGGGUGAGUAACACGUGGGUGACCUGCCCUCAGCUCUGGGAUAAGCCUGGGAAACUGGGUCUAAUACUGGAUAUGACUCCACGGUGCAUGUCGUGGGGUGGAAAGCCUUGUGCGGCUGAGGAUGGGCCCGCGGCCUAUCAGCUUGUUGGUGGGGUGANGGCCUACCGAGGCGACGACGGGUAGCCGGCCUGAGAGGGCGACCGGCCACACUGGGACUGAGACACGGCCCAGACUCCUACGGGAGGCAGCAGUGGGGAAUCUUGCGCAAUGGGCGAAAGCCUGACGCAGCGACGCCGCGUGAGGGAUGACGGCC
rnacentral:rRNA from 1 species